AUUGAACGCUGGCGGCAUGCUUUACACAUGCAAGUCGAACGGUAACAGGGAGCUUGCUCCGCUGACGAGUGGCGAACGGGUGAGUAAUGCGUCGGAACGUGCCGAGUAGUGGGGGAUAACGCAGCGAAAGUUGUGCUAAUACCGCAUACGUACUGAGGUAGAAAGUGGGGGACCUUCGGGCCUCACGCUAUUCGAGCGGCCGACGUCUGAUUAGCUAGUUGGUGAGGUAAAGGCUCACCAAGGCGACGAUCAGUAGCGGGUCUGAGAGGAUGAUCGGCCAAACUGGGACGAUAGCACGGCCCAGACUCCUACGGGAGGCAGCAGUGGGGAAUUUUGGACAGUGGGCGCAAGCCUGAUCCAGCCAUGCCGCGUGUCUGAAGAAGGCCUUCGGGUUGUAAAGGACUUUUGUCCGGGAGCAAAUACCCAGUGCUAAUAACGCUGGGGGCUGAGAGUACCGGAAGAAUAAGCACCGGCUAACUACGUGCCAGCCGCCGCCGUAAGAC
rnacentral:rRNA from 1 species